rnacentral:tRNA from 1 species
AGCUUUGUAGUCUAUUUAGGAUAUUGAAUUGCAAAUUCAGAGGUGGGGUUAACCCUAAGGCUU